CAAUAAACGGUGGCAAAAUCAGUGAAGUUAAAAACAAUAAUCUGGAUUGGCCUUUAAUGUAGUGGACGCUUGACAGGGAUGUUAUUUAACAACAUUUUACUCUCAGCAAAUAUUAGCAUGGGUGAAAAUGGAUCAAAGUGUGACCUUGGAGGAGAACAUUGUUUAUUGCCACAACAGUUACUAGGAAAUACUCAUUGCCCAUGUAGUAACUUUGAUGCCUCUGAAUAGCUCAGGGAGUAGGAGACUCAGGUACCAAGGAUCUGUGAGCAGACUGUGAGUGACAAGGGUUCUUUAAGUGCUUAGGCCCACACACAAGCACGUUCUUUGCAUUGUUGGCGGGAUAACAUUGGUGCCUUCUGCAUAUGUGCAGGUGGCCAUCUUGAAGAGUUAAAGAAACAGAGAUGUUUAGGAACGGAAUUCUAGAGUUUAUAAUUUGGGGCACAGAACCACAAUCUAUUUCAUCUAUUUCCAGUUGAACAAUUUGCAUGCAAAACCUGUUAAGGGCAAAACAGACCAACAAAGAUGAGAGCAAGAUUGAGACAGAGAGAAGGUCUAAAUCAAAAUUGAGUCGGAAGGUGACUGAGCCCCAGUGAGAGUACAUUCUAUGACCUUACUGUAUUCAAUGAUUUGCCCAAGAGCUGUUGGACAUGAGUCAGCAACCCAGUCAAGAGCAUUGGAAGGGAGAUGUUCAGUUAGUGGUGAUUAGCAAGACAUUCUUUCCCUAUGUUUGAUCAUAUGCCAUGAAACUCUGUAGGGUCUUCAGAAAAUGUUGAAGUCUCCUGAAUUUUUUACCGCUGCGCCUCAAAUUUGGCUGGGACUAUGCCGAUUGUGAGAUGGUAUAUAUCCAGGAAUGGUGGUUGGAGUGCCUUGAUGUUGUUUGUAAGAUGUGAUUUGGUGAGUGUGGACAUGUCAGGAUAUUGUUUGACCAGUGUGACGGAUAGAUUUUCCCAUUUUGAUAAAAGCCCCUUGUAGUGAUUUUAAUGAGUUCAGGCCAGCGAACCUCAUACAACCUUGAUUGGGGCUUUUAAUCUGGUCCAGUAAGGGAGCCUGGGCUGACAGACAAGGACAGGUGUGUCAGACAUCCUGUUCACUCUGAGGGCUGGCUCUGAGGAAGCUGAAUCAGCAUCACUCUCCAAGUGUAAGUGAAGGGUGGUUUGGUGAUGGGAUACUGGUACCUGCAAAAUUAUUUCACCCAUAAAUGUUAGAAAGAAUUUGGCAGGAUCAACUGAAUAGUGCUUUUUCUGGACCCUUGGUUGAUAGUUGAUGAUUACUUUUUGACUUUUGGUAAAACUGAAUGGCUUUCUAGAACAUUUCAGAAAGCAGUUCAGAGUCAGGAGCCACAUUUAGACAGAUCCUAUAAGGGCCUUGAGUGAAUAGGAUAGAUUUUGCCCGAGAGUCCAGUAGCUUCACAUUCACCUUUGUUGAAAUUAGCUCAAGAUAUAUUUAUUAAUUGAAUUUACAUUUCAAAAGUUCCCAUGGUUGAAUUUGUUCCCUCAAAAUUAAAAACUCAGGAUCCCUCGUCCAGAAAACAGUAUCACUGGGUCACCAUUCCAUUGAGAUCAAAGAAAAUUUGAAGAGACCAACAGGGGCUGAAUGUGGUCGAGACCAGGGAUGAAUUAUUGGAAAAUGAGAACUUUAAAAUUACUGCUUUUCCAGACCUUGAGCCGACAUCGAUCUGUGAACACACGAACGGUAAUAGGUGACCAGGCCUUGGUACAAGUUAUGGAAUGGACAGCAUGUUUUUAGAUGAGCUCAAAUUUGUGGGUUUCUUGGCCCAUUGUGUCUCUCCUAUCGAUAAACAAGCCAGCCAGUCUAAUCCCAUUUCCCAAAAUUUAUAGGAACAUAAGAACAGGAGUAGGCCAUCCAACCCCUCAAGCCUGUUCCAUCAUUCAAUGAGAUUACGGCUGAUCUGUGGCCUAACUCCAUGUAUCUGCCUUUGGCCUAUAUCCCUUAAUACCUUUGCUUAAUAACAAUUAAUCUAUCUUACAUUUAAAAUCAACAACUGAUCAUACAUCAAACGUUGUUUAUGGAAAAGAGUUCCAAAACUCUAUCACUUGUUUGUGUGUAGAAGCACUUCCUAACAUUUCUCCUGAACAGUCUUGCCCCAAUUCUCAGGCAGUCUGCCCCCUCAUUCUAGAAUCCCCAAUCAAUGGAAACAGUUAAUCAUCCUUUCUUUUGCUAUUAUUGAGUCCAAAACCCUGCAGGUUACGGAACUUGAGGUGCAUAACUGUUCAUACAUAUAUAGUGUGGUAUUUAGAGAAGUGAAGGUCACCAUAAGUAGCAGAGACCCAUGGGUUGCUGUCUUCUGAGGGAGAGCUGACAGGUGCCGAGUUUAACCCAAGGGUUACCGCACACCAGAUGGAUUUGAGAAGAUUAUAGCGAUCUCACAUGGUACAGGAAUUGAUCACAUAUUGUUAGCAUCACUCUGCAUCACAAAUUGUCCAUCCAGCCAAUUGAACUAACCAAGCUUGAGGCUUAAUCUGAGCUAUCAACAUCCUUUCUCCACCAGCACUUGAACCCAAAGCCCCCAACUCAAGUGCUACCCCCCUCCACACUUCACAUCAGCUCUGAUGAAGAAUCAUCUAGACUCACAAAGUUAGCUUGCCCUCUUUUCGUGGAUACUGCCUGACCCACUGUAAUCUGCAGCAUUUUUUGUUUCCUGAAAGAUUCCAGCAUCUGCAGUAUUUUGCUCCCAAGGCCCAUAAGAAAUAGAAACAAGAGUAGGCCUUUCAGUCCCUCAAGCCUGUUCCAUUAUUCAAUGGGAUCAUGGCUGAUCCGACAUCCCUCACAUCCACAUUCUUGCCUUUUCCCUGAAACCUUUGAUUUCCUCAACUGAUGAAGAAUCCAUCCCAGCCUUAACUUUGUGGCAGUGUGCCUGGUUUGCAACGCAGAUUGAUGCCAGCAAUGUGGGCUCAAUUCCCAUGCCAGGUGAAAUCACCAAGGGGGUCUACCUUCUCAACCUCACUCCUCACCUGAAAUCCGACUGUCAGUUUCAACUCACCACCAAUUCCCCAACCCCUCAUAAGAAAGCAGCCUCUGGGAUUAUGGCAACUUUCACUGUUUAGGUACUGCUGCACUAAAGUGAUGACUUUUCAGUGGCACUUGUACUUAGAAGGGCUCGAUUGCUGAUGUAUUACCUACAUUUCUCUACCUUCAGAAGGUGGUCAUAUGCCUUUUCCUUAAACUGUUGCUACUCCGGUGAUCAUCAACGCCAUACUUUCUAAUGCAAAACAAAGAAAUGAAGAGUCAUCUGAAAUAAUUUUUUUCCUUCAUCCUUUUCAUUCUUUCGUCAAUUCUUGCAUCUUGUACUGCAGCCUUGCUGACAAGCUCACAGAUCUGGCAGUAACUUAAGGAGGACAGCCAUUGCCCUACCCUGUUCCUACAAGCCAAAACCUUAACUGGACUUUGAACUGAGCAGACCAAUAUCUUUUUCAGUCUUGACAAGUGCAAGCCAUCCAUCCAAAGCAUUCCAAAGGUGAUGAUAGAAUGGCAUCUCAACUGAGGAUACACCUUACCUGAUGUUGCCAGGCAUGCUGAACUUUUCCAACAACUUGCGUUUUUGUUCAGAAUUUACAGCAUCUGCAGUUGUUUCGGUUUUUAUUUAGGAGAUAAAGCAAUGAGAACUGUAACUUGUUGAAAGCAGACCUGCUGGGAAUAUCCACAAUAUUUGCCAAGAUCAGCUACAUCCUGAGAUCCUGAGAACAGCAAUCAGAACUUUCAUGGUGUUAGGAUGAGUGGAGAAGGAUCAGGCUGGCUGGUUUUAUUCCUGUGUUAAGCCAGUCUGGACGGAACAGUUCAUCACCCAAAGCACAUUCGUACCACGAAAAGGAGUCAACUGAAAAAAAUGUGAAGCACAUCCCAAUUUUUUCACAAGAUUGAAAGGUCGAACCAGAGCAAUGUGGACAGAGAGAAAGGAAAUAACAUAACAUUCUGCUGCCCUUCAAAAUAGCAAAGCUCGGUUUAACUGUGUAGGGAUCAAAACUCUACCAGCUUAGAAAACACUUCAGCAAAAUUUACAUUUAUAAUCCAAAAAAUGAGAACGUUUACUUCUGGAAAUAAUCACUGACUUUUGCUUGAUUAAACAAAAUCUUUUUGUUGACUUUGGGCAUGCAAAGCUGGAAAGGCCCUGAAACAUGGGAACAGGGAAACAAUGUACAAUUAACCUGAGCUUUAUAUUGCAAUGCACAAAGUGCAUCAACUUCAUGAAAUCUGUUCAAUUCAUUGAUCUCUGCAUUCAGCCCAUGCUCAGUGUGCUACCCUUUGGCUUGGCAGAAGAGUUGGGGGACAACAUUGUGCACAGCCAGAAUCACUUAAACCUAACAUUCAUGCUUAAUGGGGUGCUGCCUUGAUGCUGAUCAACGGUUGCUGAUACUCACGCCUGAAGAAAAUUGGAUCUGAGAAGUGUGGAGUAGCACAUUAGCAAAGAGGGCAUGGACUCAUUCCCUCCAACACAACAGGGAAGUUUUAUUCCUCAGAGGCACACUCCUUAAAAGCACAAGAUGAGUUCUGAACAUGCCCUUGAACUUCGUUGAUGACUCACCAAUGGGACUCCCAGUGGUAAUGUGACUCUUUUCCUAAAGGGACACUAUUCCAGCGUAAAUUGCACCAACCAUUACAUUAAACAUGAUACAUCUACGCGAAAGCUCCUUGUUCAGCUGGCUUAGCACUGGAGGGCUUUAUUUUCAACAAAUUUCUGCCAGAUAACAGCAGAUUAUUCUCCUUAUUUAAA